GCUUACGGCCACACCAGCCUGAAAGGGCCCGAUCUCGUCUGAUCUCGGAAGCAAAGAAGGCUCGGGCCUGGUUAGUACUGGGAUGGGAGACUGCCUUGGAAUACCUGGGUGCUGUAAGCU
ensembl:rRNA 5S_rRNA 5S ribosomal RNA